rnacentral:rRNA from 1 species
GUCAGCCGCCGCGGUAACACCGGCGGCCCGAGUGGUGAUCGUGAUUAUUGGGUCUAAAGGGUCCGUAGCCGGUUUGGUCAGUCCUCCGGGAAAUCUGAUAGCUCAACUAUUAGGCUUUCGGGGGAUACUGCCAGACUUGGAGCCGGGAGAGGUAAGAGGUACUACAGGGGGUAGGAGUGAAAUCUUGUAAUCCCUGUGGGACCACCUGUGGCGAAGGCGUCUUACCAGAACGGGUUCGACGGUGAGGGACGAAAGCUGGGGGCACGAACCGGAUUAGAUACCCGGGUAGUCCCAGCCGUAAACGAUGCUCGCUAGGUGUCAGGCAUGGCGCGACCGUGUCUGGUGCCGCAGGGAAGCCGUGAAGCGAGCCACCUGGGAAGUACGGCCGCAAGGCUGAAACUUAAAGGAAUUGGCGGGGGAGCACAACAACGGGUGGAGCCCUGCGGUUUAAUUGGACUCAACGCCGGACAACUCACCGGGGGCGACAGCAAUAUGUAGGCCAAGCUGAAGACUUUGCCUGAAUCGCUGAGAGGUGGUGCAUGG